UGGGGAAUUUUGGACAAUGGGCGAAAGCCUGAUCCAGCAAUGCCGCGUGUGUGAAGAAGGCCUUCGGGUUGUAAAGCACUUUUGUCCGGAAAGAAAUCCUUGGCUCUAAUACAGUCGGGGGAUGACGGUACCGGAAGAAUAAGCACCGGCUAACUACGUGCCAGCAGCCGCGGUAAUACGUAGGGUGCAAGCGUUAAUCGGAAUUACUGGGCGUAAAGCGUGCGCAGGCGGUUUGCUAAGACCGAUGUGAAAUCCCCGGGCUCAACCUGGGAACUGCAUUGGUGACUGGCAGGCUAGAGUAUGGCAGAGGGGGGUAGAAUUCCACGUGUAGCAGUGAAGUGCGUAGAGAUGUGGAGGAAUACCGAUGGCGAAGGCAGCCCCCUGGGCCAAUACUGACGCUCAUGCACGAAAGCGUGGGGAGCAAACAGGAUUAGAUACCCUGGUAGUCCACGCCCUAAACGAUGUCAACUAGUUGUUGGGGAUCAUUUCCUUAGUAACGUAGCUAACGCGUGAAGUUGACCGCCUGGGGAGUACGGUCGCAAGAUUAAAACUCAAAUGAAUUGACGGGGUCAUAGCUGUUUCCU
rnacentral:rRNA from 1 species